UCGAGCGGCAGCGCGGGGGCAACCCUGGCGGCGAGCGGCGAACGGGUGAGUAAUGUAUCGGAACGUACCCAGUCGUGGGGGAUAACUAUCCGAAAGGAUAGCUAAUACCGCAUACGUCCUGAGGGAGAAAGCGGGGGACCGUAAGGCCUCGCGCGAUUGGAGCGGCCGAUAUCGGAUUAGCUAGUUGGUGAGGUAAAGGCUCACCAAGGCGACGAUCCGUAGCUGGUCUGAGAGGACGACCAGCCACACUGGAACUGAGACACGGUCCAGACUCCUACGGGAGGCAGCAGUGGGGAAUUUUGGACAAUGGGGGCAACCCUGAUCCAGCCAUUCCGCGUGAGUGAAGAAGGCCUUCGGGUUGUAAAGCUCUUUCAGCAGGAACGAAACGGUGGUCCUUAAUACGGGCUACUAAUGACGGUACCUGAAGAAGAAGCACCGGCUAACUACGUGCCAGCAGCCGCGGUAAUACGUAGGGUGCGAGCGUUAAUCGGAAUUACUGGGCGUAAAGCGUGCGAAGGCGGUUCUAUAAGACAGAUGUGAAAUCCCCGGGCUUAACCUGGGAACUGCGUUUGUGACUGUAGGACUCGAGUGUGGCAGAGGGGGGUGGAAUUCCACGUGUAGCAGUGAAAUGCGUAGAGAUGUGGAGAAACACCGAUGGCGAAGGCAGCCCCCUGGGUCAACACUGACGCUCAUGCACGAAAGCGUGGGGAGCAAACAGGAUUA
rnacentral:rRNA from 1 species